rnacentral:misc_RNA from 1 species
UAGGAGACGGCUACUCUGGUGAGAGCUGCAAAUCACCUCCUGCGUGUCCAGGUGUCCAGCACCACUCCAACGCUGACGCGCAGGUCCCCUCCCUUUGCUCCUCCUCGGAUGUGCCAGGCGACGAGCUCCUCACCGUGAGCCCUCCACUCGGCACCUCGCCUCCUCCUCGAACUCCGUUCAGCGCUCGGCCUCAACCCAGCGGAGCUCAACUCCAGGCGAGGCAAGACGAUGUCGUGCUUCACCCAGCUAAGCCUCCACGCCUGAUGCCCUCCUUGCGCGCUGCCCCAAGCCCCAGCCGCCAGCCGCCAGCCACCCCCGUGCCGCCAGCCCCGGAUUCACAGC